rnacentral:rRNA from 1 species
UCAGGAUGAACGCUGGCGGCGUGCCUAAUACAUGCAAGUCGAACGCACAGCGAAAGGUGCUUGCACCUUUCAAGUGAGUGGCGAACGGGUGAGUAACACGUGGACAACCUGCCUCAAGGCUGGGGAUAACAUUUGGAAACAGAUGCUAAUACCGAAUAAAACUUAGUGUCGCAUGACACAAAGUUAAAAGGCGCUUUGGCGUCACCUAGAGAUGGAUCCGCGGUGCAUUAGUUAGUUGGUGGGGUAAAGGCCUACCAAGACAAUGAUGCAUAGCCGAGUUGAGAGACUGAUCGGCCACAUUGGGACUGAGACACGGCCCAAACUCCUACGGGAGGCUGCAGUAGGGAAUCUUCCACAAUGGGCGAAAGCCUGAUGGAGCAACGCCGCGUGUGUGAUGAAGGCUUUCGGGUCGUAAAGCACUGUUGUAUGGGAAGAACAGCUAGAAUAGGGAAUGAUUUUAGUUUGACGGUACCAUACCAGAAAGGGACGGCUAAAUACGUGCCAGCAGCCGCGGUAAUACGUAUGUCCCGAGCGUUAUCCGGAUUUAUUGGGCGUAAAGCGAGCGCAGACGGUUGAUUAAGUCUGAUGUGAAAGCCCGGAGCUCAACUCCGGAAUGGCAUUGGAAACUGGUUAACUUGAGUGCAGUAGAGGUAAGUGGAACUCCAUGUGUAGCGGUGGAAUGCGUAGAUAUAUGGAAGAACACCAGUGGCGAAGGCGGCUUACUGGACUGUAACUGACGUUGAGGCUCGAAAGUGUGGGUAGCAAACAGGAUUAG